UACGAGAGGCCCAAACGUUAUUCGGAUUUACUGGGCUUAAAGAGUUCGUAGGCGGCCAACUAAGUCGGACGUGAAAUCCCUCAGCUUAACUGGGGAACUGCGUCCGAUACUGGAUGGCUUGGAUUCGGGAGAGGGAUGCGGAAUUCCAGGUGUAGCGGUGAAAUGCGUAGAUAUCUGGAGGAACACCGGUGGCGAAGGCGGCAUCCUGGACCGAUAUUGACGCUGAGGAGCGAAAGCCAGGGGAGCAAACGGG
rnacentral:rRNA from 1 species